GACGAACGCUGGCGGCGUGCUUAACACAUGCAAGUCGAACGGAAAGGCCCUGCUUGCAGGGUACUCGAGUGGCGAACGGGUGAGUAACACGUGGGUGAUCUGCCCUGCACUUCGGGAUAAGCCUGGGAAACUGGGUCUAAUACCGGAUAGGAGCCAUUUUUAGUGUGAUGGUUGGAAAGUUUUUUCGGUGUAGGAUGAGCUCGCGGCCUAUCAGCUUGUUGGUGGGGUAAUGGCCUACCAAGGCGGCGACGGGUAGCCGGCCUGAGAGGGUGGACGGCCACAUUGGGCCUGCGGUACGGCCCAGCAUCGUACGGGCGGCAGCGGUGGAGAAUAUUGCAGAAUGGGCGCAAGCCUGAUGCAGCGGCGCCGCGUGUGGGAUGCCGGCCUUCGGGUGGUAAACACCUUUCGCUAGAGCCGAAGCUUUUUGUGCCGGUCCCUAGAUAAGAAGCACCGGCUACCUCCGU
rnacentral:rRNA from 1 species